CGCUGCACGAGCGUCCUGUGAAGGAUGCUACCGCAGGCUCUGAGGAUGGCCGGCAGGAGCGCGCUCCCGCUGCUCAGGUGCGCGGACCGCUGGGCUGACGUCAUCGCGUGCGCUGCGUCACGCCAGGUGAAGACGCUGGAGCAGAUGCCCGGACCCUCAUCCGGGGGCUUCAUCUGGGACCUGCUCUUCAGACGCGGACUCUCGCGCCUCCAUCAGCUGCAGCUGGAGGGCCGGAGGAGGUACGGGGCCGUGUGGAAGGCCAGCUUCGGGCCCAUCCUGACGGUGCAUGUGGCCGAGCCGGAGCUGAUCGAGCAGGUGCUGAGACAGGAGGGCACGCACCCCAUGCGCUCCGACCUCUCGUCCUGGAAGGACUACCGCAGGCUCCGCGGAGAGGGAUACGGACUCCUGACGGCUGAAGGCGAGGAGUGGCAGAGCGUGCGCAGUCUCCUGGGGAAGCACAUGCUGCGGCCCAAAGCUGUGGAGGCGUAUGACGGCCCCCUGAACGCUGUCGUGACCGACCUGAUCCACAAACUCAAGCUACGCUCGCAGCAGAGCUCCAGCGGCCUCGUCACAGACAUCUCUGCUGAGUUCUACCGCUUCGGUCUGGAAGGGAUCUCGUCUGUGCUGUUUGAGUCCAGGAUCGGCUGUCUCGACCCGGUGGUUCCUGUGGAGACGGAGCGCUUCAUCCAGUCCAUCAACACCAUGUUUGUCAUGACGCUCCUCACGAUGGCCAUGCCUCGCUGGCUCCACCGGCUGCUCCCCAAACCCUGGGACACCUUCUGCCGCUGCUGGGACUACAUGUUCCAGUUCGCUAAAGGUCACAUCGACCAGCGUCUCGAGGAGGAGAGGCAGAAGAUGGCUCGAGGAGAGCGUCUAGAGGGACGAUACCUCACUUACUUCCUGUCUCAGGCCGGGGUUCCUCUCAAAUCUGUGUACAGCAAUGUGACGGAGCUGCUGCUCGCUGGCGUCGACACGAUCUCCGGCACGCUGUCAUGGUCUCUGUACGAGCUCUCGCGGCACCCUGAGGUCCAGACGGCACUGCGGGACGAGGUUCGGCACGUGAUGAAGGACCGCAGCGUCCCCGAGGCGCGUGAUGUGGCUGCCAUGCCGCUCAUGAAGGCCGUGAUAAAGGAGAUCCUCAGGCUGUACCCAGUGAUCCCAGCCAACGCUAGAGUCAUCACAGACAGAGAUAUCACCGUCGGUGGAUACCUCAUCCCAAAAAACACGCUGAUCACUCUGUGUCACUACGCCACGUCCCGUGACCCGCGGCAGUUUUGCGAUCCGGACGAGUUCGUCCCCCAGCGCUGGCUGAGCCGCUCCGAGGGCAGUCACCCGUACGCCUCCGUGCCGUUUGGAGUGGGCAAGCGCAGCUGUGUCGGCCGACGCAUCGCUGAACUGGAGCUCUACCUGGCGCUGUCUCGGGUAUCUCAGAUACUCUGAACUCACCCCAGGGGUUUUCUAAAUGCAUGCUGUUGAUCUUAUUGUCAGGUUCAUCUAUUUUAAUGCACUUUAACGUGGAGCCGGCGGAGGAUAGCGGUCCGGUCCGGCCGAUGACCAGAACUCUUCUGGUGCCAGAGAGACAGAUAAACCUCCGCUUCAUCGAGCGCUGACGUGACAGUCCGAGUGAACGGCUGUGACAGAACUGGCCCUGUCCAUCACAGAGAGCCAGGAGGACGCUGGGACGUCUGCAGCAGGAGCCGCUCUCUUUACGUGAGCGGACACCAGCUCAAGAACUAACCUGUGAUUCCUUAACUUAUGAGACAUAACCCAGAAAGGAGUGAAGCUUGUCCGUCGCUGGAUGAAGCUGUGCAGACCGUGCUGCAGAUCUUCAUGAAGGGAUGUUUGUUACACAACGGAGAGACUAGAAAGAGAGAAAAACUCUUCAUUUAUAGAUGCUUGUGUGCAAAACAAAUGAGGAGCAGCUUGUGCUAAUGGUCUAUAUCAGAAAUUGAAGAUUUGGUGCUACUGUGUCUGAAAUUUGCCAGGUUGUUCAUCGUAGCCACUGCUACAAAGUGCUUUUUUCCCACAUGAAAUUCUGAACUGACAUAAGAUCAGCCAUGUGCAUUCAGGAAAAAUAUCAGACUUGAAAAAUGGCUGCUGAAACUACAUGCAGUAUGAUUGCUUGCUUAGUUGGACAAUUUUUCUAUUUUGAAUAAAAUUGUUAUUUUAUUUUAAAGGUAAACUGCGUUGUCUGGCUCACUGCUAUAGUGAAGUCCACGGUGAUUCCACGAAAGCACAUUUAACCUACUUGCUCUAACAGCAGGUUUUCUGAGAAGGCGAGUGCCAGGAUGUGUGGUUCUAGUGGACACAAGGCCACGCUGUGUUUGCUCUGGGGUUUCCCAGCGAGCGCUCAGAGGGUCAGCGUGUGCUCUGAACAUCAGUCUCCUAAAAACACUGGACUUCAGCACAGCUGCAGAGUCCUCUAAACCUAAAGUCUGCUCUAAAGGCCACGUCUAGAUUGAACAUUCAAUGCUUCAUUGACAUUAGUGGUCUGUAACUCGUUUUGUUUGGAAAUGAAGCGGUGAACUGAACUCAGUCCAAAGCUCAUCUCUUGGUAGUUUGAACCAAACACAGAGUGAUCCAUGUUCCUGUAAGUGUUUGUGUGAUCGCAAUCACAGAGUCAUCCAUGAACAGCAGCUGAUGGAAGGAUGACAUCUUCUGGUGAAGGUUGGUUAAGAUCUGAAAGGGUAACAUUUUGUCAUUAAUCACUUACCCCCCAUGUCGUUCCAAACCUGUAAAUGCAUCAUUGGUCUUCGGAACACAAUUCUGAGUUGAAUAAAGUCGAUAUUUUGUUUUAUUGUAUUCUCAUUGUCUUAUUAAAAGUCAGAUUGAACCACU